CAGCAGCCGCGGUAAGACAGAGGUCCCGAGCGUUGUUCGGAUUCAUUGGGCGUAAAGGGUGUGUAGGAGGUCGGGUAAGUCAGGUGUGAAAUCUCACAGCUUAACUGUGAAACUGCGCUUGAUACUGCUCGGCUAGAGGAUCGGAGGGGGUAACGGAAUUUAUGGUGUAGCAGUGAAAUGCGUAGAUAUCAUAAGGAACACCGGUGGCGAAGGCGGUUACCUGGAAGAUUCCUGACUCUGAAACACGAAAGCCAGGGGAGCAAACGGGAUUAGAGACCCCGGUAGUCCCUGUCUCUUAUAC
rnacentral:rRNA from 1 species